GAGUUUGAUCGUGGCUCAGAUUGAACGCUGGCGGCAGGCCUAACACAUGCAAGUCGAGCGGAUGACGGGAGCUUGCUCCUUGAUUCAGCGGCGGACGGGUGAGUAAUGCCUAGGAAUCUGCCUGGUAGUGGGGGACAACGUUUCGAAAGGAACGCUAAUACCGCAUACGUCCUACGGGAGAAAGCAGGGGACCUUCGGGCCUUGCGCUAUCAGAUGAGCCUAGGUCGGAUUAGCUAGUUGGUGGGGUAAUGGCUCACCAAGGCGACGAUCCGUAACUGGUCUGAGAGGAUGAUCAGUCACACUGGAACUGAGACACGGUCCAGACUCCUACGGGAGGCAGCAGUGGGGAAUAUUGGACAAUGGGCGAAAGCCUGAUCCAGCCAUGCCGCGUGUGUGAAGAAGGUCUUCGGGAUUGUAAAGCACUUUAAGUUGGGAGGAAGGGCAGUAAGUUAAUACCUUGCUGUUUUGACGUUACCGACAGAAUAAGCACCGGCUAACUCUGUGCCAGCCGCCG
rnacentral:rRNA from 1 species